rnacentral:rRNA from 1 species
CUUGUCUUUUAAUGAAGACCUGUAUGAAUGGCAUCACGAGGGCUUAACUGUCUCCCCUCUCCAGUCAAUGAAAUUGACCUCCCCGUGCAGAGGCGGGGAUAUUUCUAUAAGACGAGAAGACCCUGUGGAGCUUUAGACCUAAAAUAAACCACGUUUAAUAUACUAAAAUUAAUAGCAAAAACUUAGUGGACAUUUAUUUAAGUGUCUUUGGUUGGGGCGACCGCGGAGUAAAACACAACCUCCAUGUGGACGGGGAUACUAUCCCUAAAACUCAGAGCCUCCACUCCAAGCAACAGAAAUUCUGACCUCACUGAUCCGGUACAGCCGAUUAACGAACCCAGUUACCCCAGGGAUAACAGCGCAAUCCCCUUCUCAGAGCUCAUAUCGACGAGGGGGUUUCGACCUCGAUGGUNGGAUCAGGCCUUCCUAUGGUGCACCGUUUGGGGUUCGUUUGUUAACAUUAAGCCUCCGGAU